AAAUGAAAUGGGAGUCUAUCGCAUAGUAUUAAGUUCCUAUAAAAAGGCGGCCACCGUCGGGAUUUCAGCAUAACACAUUUUCGUGAGAUUUUUAUCUUUGGUAAGUCAACUUGAAAGUAUACCCGUGCGAAAAAAACUAUAGUAGUAUAUUUUUUUGUUCUUAUUAUUUUACUUUUUACUUGCAGUUUUUAAUUCUUCACACAACAAAAACCGACCAAAAUCAAAAAUGGGCGCUGAAAAGGUAUCCAUGAACAUCGUUAUCGUAGGACAAGUCCAAUCUGACAAGGCACCCAAAAUAGUCGCAAAGGCCGUAAACGCCGCUAACCUAUUGAUAGUAAGUAUAAUAUAUACUUACACUGCAAGUCCCUAUUUUGUGUGAAUCUGCAGUGUUCUACUUACAUCAUGUAUAUAAAUAUGAAAAAAAAAAAAAUAGGAAAAUAUAAUUUUGCUUAACUACUAUAAAAGAAAUUAAUAUUCAUCCAUCACGGUUUUUUGUUUUAUACAUCUUACAAUCAGCCGGAGUAAAAUUAAAAUUUAUAAUUUUAUAUUUGCACAGCGUCGACUGUAUUAUUCAGAUUUUAUUUUCGUGUUCAAUACUAAAUAAUUGUCGACAUUUCGUCAAUAUUUUUAAUGUGCACUAUUAACAUAUGUGUGUUAAAAAAUGUUGAAUACACAAAUGUGUCGAAUUAACGCAAUUGCUAUUAAAUUAUAGCAAUAUUUUAACUGUUAACUAUUUACAAUUCAAUUCAUAUUAUAGCACAUUCAUCAUGAUAAUUCAGGUAUAUAAUGUAGAUGCGUGAAACGUAACACUUACAAACCGUUAAUCAUACAAUAUGUUUUCGUCGCUUCAAUUUUAUAUUAACGGCUAUUUUAUAAUUGAUAGUAAUAAUAUGUCGUUUUGUUUCAGAUCUUUUAAUAUUCAUGGCGUAGUGCAGAUCGUCGAUCGCCAACUCAAAAAUGCCAUAGCCCGUACAGUGCACGUAUCUUAUAUUCGAAUUAUUUAGGUACGUGUAUUGAUGUAUCACACAAUUUAAAAUAAACCAGUACCUACUUUCGGCAAUUUACUUUUUUUGUUAUCUUUUUUAUACCUCUGUCCGGCGACGUACAUAUUAACAUGUAUUACCGUACCUGUCGUAAUCGAAUCCUUUAUCUCGAUAAAAAAAAAAAAA